CAGGGAAGCAUGGGGGUCAGUUACCUGGGCGAGGCCAGGGCCCACCUCACCCCACAACCUCCAAUUCCUAUUUCUUCUAUUCCCAGGACCCCGCCUACAGCAAGCCCCAUGAGGACCCCCAAGAUCCCCGCUCCCACUCGCUCUGGUUAAGCCCCUUUCAGUGUUUGCUGCCUUAGUUCCUGUCACGGGCAAGGGUCACAUCUCUUGUUUCUUCAGUGCCCCCACCUCAGUGAGCUGGCCCCACCAAGAGCCGCUGGUGGGACUUUCUGCUUCCUACGUGUGAAACGGUGAUCAUAUGGCAGGUACGGUGAGGGUGAAGGGGACUUGUCUGCCCCAGGCCCAGCGGGGAGCCGGCCUGCACCCGGGGUAGGUGCAGUGCAUAGCCCAGCGCCUUCCCUUGAGCUUUCUUUCCUUUCAUUCUUCCCUCCUUCCAUCCCUCCAUCCAUCUACCCAACCCAUCCAUCCAUCUGCCUGGCAAAAAAUUUUGGAGUGCCAACCACGUGCCAGGCAGUGUGUUAUCUAUCAAGCGCUUCCCGGUACCGGGCACCAGCCCCCUCAUGCAGGGCCUCAUUCAUCACCAGAGAGCCUGAAGACCAGGCCCAAGGUCACAUCCUGACAGGCACCAGAACUGAGGUCCACACCCAGGUCUGUGGGGUACUGAAGCCCUGGCCCCUACCAGCGCAUUGCAGGGACAGGCCAGAGAACUGUGGCUUCCAGUGAUGCGCUGUUCUUGACUUUUCCGGGUGGACACUCUGCUGAGUAUGUGGCGAGAGCUAGCAAUCUGCCCCCAGGAAGAUGUACUGAGCCGAACGCUCGCUCACAGGCCACCACAGACGCACACAUGCUCAUGCCUGAUUCUGCACUCACCCAGUCCCCGAGCUGUGCUGAAGGGACAUGGAAACCCUCGCUCAGGUCACCUGCCAGAGGUGGCCAGAGGAAGAAGCCCUACCUGGCACAGACCCACAGAGGAAGGCAGUCCUGCCCUCCCAGCCUGAAGGCAGGCUGCCAGGCAGCAGCAGAGACAGACCUUUCCCUGAAUCUGAUUGGAAGAAUUUGUCUGUCAAGUUUCUAUAGACUCGAACCAGCAAAGCCCUGAGAGCCGCUGCCAGCGAUGCAGAGGUGUUCCACACGUAGCCGUUUGGGCCGCAGCCCUGAUGUUCCACACGGAGAAGAACAUGCCAGCCUUACAGGUUCUCCCGGAAUCAAUGGGGCCAGGAACACUUGCAGGCUGCCACAGGGCCGGGCUGCCUCUCUCCAGGGACUAGAAGGAGGUAAAGAAGUCAGAUGAGGCCUGAAGCCUCACUGUGAAUCUGGAAAGGUGAUUGCCAGCUGGACCCUGCAGCCCAUGGAAGUGACAGGCCCAGAGUGCGGGCACACACAGCACGACGGGCCUUCAGGAGUACCGGGACUCCAGGGGCCAGCCCCCCUUCCUCAGGCCAAGCCUGUCUACCCCUGUGGGCCCUGGCCUGGCCUGGACAUCGGGGAGCAGGCAACACCUCGAUGAAGACCCCGGGCCUGCCCCUGGGGGCUUACCCGCUAUGUGAUAUUUGUGAGCCAGGGCUCUGAGCACAGGGAACCCUCCCUAGAGCAGCAUCCUCCUGUCUGUCCCCAUCCUGCCUGUCGCCCUUGUUGGGGAAGACUGUCUACCACCUGGUGGUGUCUGAUCCUUCCUUUCCAGUUCUUUUGAAUCUGUGGCCGCUUGAACUGUGGAUUUGAGAGCUGACUGGAGAGCGCACUUCCACUCCCCACCCAGGACCCCAUGCUGAGUCCCUGGAGGGAGGGAUUUGCAACCAAGGGACUUGUGUGGGAGGUGCCCACCCCCUGCACGACGCCCCCCUUCCGCAUGGAUAGCUCCAGAAUCCAGCCUCUCCUCCCCAGCCAGGGCCUGUGGGGCACCGCCCCCCUCGAGGGCUCCACAAGCCGUCCUGCCGCCCCUGCCACGGUGCCCGACUGGAGGAGUCCCAGGAAGGAAUCUGAGAUCAAUUUACAGGGUCAAGACAAGCCGUUAAAGCAGACAGAACAUGGAGCAUUUUGUGCGCAGUAAGGGCACUGUUUAUGACCUUCUGGCUUCAGUUAUAUUCAGACAACUGGGUUCAGACAGGGUCAAGCUAUAGCGUGCAUCCCUUAACUCACCACCGUCACAAAAAAAAAUGCAGCUAGCGCCUGGCCUGGAGGGUCCAUUCUGGUCUCUGGGCCCUGCGCACCGGCCUGGCUCAGCUGCCUUCCAGCCCUGACUCACUCCCCCAGGACCUGCCAGGCUCCUGAGCUUUGCCCAUGCUACUCCCACCACUCAGAAUGCCCUCCUGUGCCCUUCCUCUUCCCAGGCUGUGGUCCUGAGGCAGGCACAGCCAGUGUCCAAAGAGGGCCAGCCAGCAUCCCUCCCUUACUGCAGCAAUGACAAGCCCCCACCCCCAGAAUCUGGCAUCUUCCCCACGCUCCCUCCCUCUCUCCCGACUCUCUCCAGUUGCCAGGGCUCCCUGGUCCACCUCACCCACCAGCUGCUGGGACAGGCCUUGGCUGCAGCUUCCCCUCUGCCUGGAACUCAAUCUCUCUAGGGCACCAAGCAUCAGCCAAGGGUGUGAGAGCCCAGACAGGCUGAUCAAAGGCAUCCACUCCAACUUGGGUCGAUUUUAAAGAAAAUUACUUUGAUUCCCCGGCUACAGAAGAAAGCAGUUCCCACGGUCUUUAUUUUAGGCAUGGAGUUUUGCCCUCCAAUUUAACCGGCAUCUCCCAGAGC